rnacentral:rRNA from 1 species
AAAUUGAAGAGUUUGAUCAUGGCUCAGAUUGAACGCUGGCGGCAGGCCUAACACAUGCAAGUCGAACGGUAGCACAGAGGAGCUUGCUCCU